UCUACCAAAGGAUAGUAGUAUUC
rnacentral:tRNA from 2 species